AAAACUAUUGACACAAACCUUGCCACUGACAGGCACGUGAAGCCUGGACCUGAACAUGGAGAAACCUCAUUCAAGAGGCUCUGGGAGGCAAAUCUCCACCCCCUGAUGUAGACCCAGCUGCGAACAGCUCUCUCUGCAGAGUUGGAGACUGGCCAGCCACUUGGAGAGAAAGUUGAACCUGUUGAGAAAGCUUGCAUUCCUUGGCUGCCUCUCUAUGUCCAAAUUGCAGUGGAGCCUGACUACCAGCCUGUGAGUACCUGUCUUGGACAAGGACCUUGCUGCCUCCUUCCAUGCAUUUCUCACUUCCAUCCUGGAUCACUGCACUCACUUUCAUUAGAACAAAGACACAGGUGGGAUUCUUUUCUAUCACCCAAUCUGAUGAAUGGCUUGAAGGAGUUAUUUGGAUUCCCAGUGUACGUUGUUUGCUUCAGGAAUUAUACGUUUAUCAAAACUGUACUGCAAUUCUCCCCGCGAUAUAGUAAAAAUGCAUCUCAUGUUUCAUUCUAAUACAGCAGUAACUCUUCAAUUUACAUAUCAACAGACAUAUUCCUGUUUAUUUUUCCUGACUUUAAUAAGACAUUUGAAAUAUAAAAAUGCUGAAAAAUAAAUAAAUGUGUGCAAGAGCA
rnacentral:lncRNA from 1 species